GACGAACGCUGGCGGCGUGCUUAACACAUGCAAGUCGAACGGAAAGGCCCUGCUUUUGUGGGGUGCUCGAGUGGCGAACGGGUGAGUAACACGUGAGUAACCUGCCCUUGACUUUGGGAUAACUUCAGGAAACUGGGGCUAAUACCGGAUAGGAGCUCCUGCUGCAUGGUGGGGGUUGGAAAGUUUCGGCGGUUGGGGAUGGACUCGCGGCUUAUCAGCUUGUUGGUGGGGUAGUGGCUUACCAAGGCUUUGACGGGUAGCCGGCCUGAGAGGGUGACCGGCCACAUUGGGACUGAGAUACGGCCCAGACUCCUACGGGAGGCAGCAGUGGGGAAUAUUGCACAAUGAGCGGAAGCCUGAUGCAGCAACGCCGCGUUCGGGAUGACGGCCUUCGGGUUGUAAACCGCUGUCGCCUGUGACGAAGCGUGAGUGACGGUAAUGAGUAAAGAAGCACCGGCUAACUACGUG
rnacentral:rRNA from 1 species